rnacentral:piRNA from 1 species
UACUGCCUCACAACAGCCUCCACAGGC